GGACCCGCACAAGUAGUGGAGCAUGUGGUUUAAUUCGAAGAUACGCGCAGAACCUUACCAACACUUGACAUGUUCGUCGCGACUUUAAGAGAUUAAAGUUUUCGGUUCGGCCGGACGAAACACAGGUGCUGCAUGGCUGUCGUCAGCUCGUGUCGUGAGAUGUUGGUUAAGUCCCGCAACGAGCGCAACCCUCACUUUUAGUUGCCAUCAUUAAGUUGGGCACUCUGAAAGAACUGCCAGUGAUAAGCUGGAGGAAGGUGGGGAUGACGUCAAGUCCUCAUGGCCCUUACGUGUUGGGCUACACACGUGCUACAAUGGCAUCUACAGUGGGUUAAUCCCCAAAAGAUGUCU
rnacentral:rRNA from 1 species